GGGGAUGUAAUGGUUUCGACAGGAAUGUGGAACAAGGAUAAGCGAGCCGUGGCGCCCAGUCCACGUAAAAAGGGGCCGUUAAAUAUAAACGCUAAAAAUAACAACAAUUUCGCACUGGCUGCAUAGUUCAGCCCCGCGCGCCGCUUCAGGCUCACCUGCAGGCUUGAAAUCCGGUGUCAUGAAUGCAGGAAACCGCUGGAAGAGCUCCUGGUAUUUCAGCGGACUUACAGGAUAGCAGUUCCGUAGUGUGUCAGCGUCACGGCGGAUACUGCGAAUGACAAAGCACUGACUGCGCUCGGAGAAAGUUCUUCGGAAAUAUUUUUGGACGUGGGUUCGACUCCCACCAUCUCCACCA
rnacentral:tmRNA from 1 species